AUUGAACGCUGGCGGCAUGCCUUACACAUGCAAGUCGAACGGUAACAGGUCUUCGGAUGCUGACGAGUGGCGAACGGGUGAGUAAUACAUCGGAACGUGCCCAGACGUGGGGGAUAACGAGGCGAAAGCUUUGCUAAUACCGCAUACGAUCUAAGGAUGAAAGCAGGGGACCGCAAGGCCUUGUGCGUUUGGAGCGGCCGAUGGCAGAUUAGGUAGUUGGUGGGAUAAAAGCUUACCAAGCCGACGAUCUGUAGCUGGUCUUAGAGGACGACCAGCCACACUGGGACUGAGACACGGCCCAGACUCCUACGGGAGGCAGCAGUGGGGAAUUUUGGACAAUGGGCGAAAGCCUGAUCCAGCAAUGCCGCGUGCAGGAUGAAGGCCUUCGGGUUGUAAACUGCUUUUGUACGGAACGAAAAGGCUCUGGCUAAUACCUGGGGCACAUGACGGUACCGUAAGAAUAAGCACCGGCUAACUACGUG
rnacentral:rRNA from 1 species